UACGGGGGGGGCAAGCGUUGUUCGGAAUUACGGGGCGUAAAGGGCUCGUAGGUGGCCAACUAAGUCAGACGUGAAAUCCCCGGGCUUAACCUGGGAACUGCAUUUGGGACUGCAAGGCUUGAGUACGGCAGAGGGGGGUAGAAUUCCUGGUGUAGCAGUGAAAUGCGUAGAUAUCAGGAGGAAUACCGAUGGCGAAGGCAGCCCCCUGGGUCGAUACUGACGCUCAUGCACGAAAGCGUGGGGAGCAAACAGG
rnacentral:rRNA from 1 species